UACGUAGGCAGCAAGCGUUGUUCGGAGUUACUGGGCGUAAAGGGUGUGUAGGCGGUUGGGUAAGUGUGGUGUGAAAUCUCCCGGCUUAACUGGGAGGGUGCGCUACAAACUGUCUGACUAGAGUGUGGGAUGGGAGAGUGGAAUUCCUGGUGUAGCGGUGAAAUGCGUAGAUAUCAGGAGGAACACCGGUGGUGUAGACGGCUCUCUGGACCAUAACUGACGCUGAGACACGAAAGCGUGGGUAGCAAACAGG
rnacentral:rRNA from 1 species